GUGGUCGUGGCCAUUUUCGCCAUCUGCUGGCUGCCUUACCAGACGUACAACAUUCUCCAGGAGCUCUAUCCCGUCAUCAACCAGUAUCGCUACAUCAACGUCAUUUGGUUCUGCUCCCACUGGCUUGCCAUGAGCAAUUCCUGCUACAACCCUUUCAUUUACGCCAUUUAUAGCGAGAAGUUCAGCGCCGAGUUUCGGGCACGGAUGCGCUGCUGCUCGUCGAAGAGCAAGCAGGAGGAGGCCCGCUGCUACCGGCAGACGCCCACCUCCGUGUCGACGCGCUACUCGAUGCGAUCCUACUCCUGAGCAGAGGCCCCGCACCGCGACGAGACGCUACGCCCGGUGCAGGCCGCAGAAAACAGCGUGUAGUGUCGCCGAAGAUGACUCGUUGGCCGCGGUUGACUUCGCCAAGGCCCGACCUGAAAGACCAAGCUCUCGAUGUGCCGGGUGGUGAAUUUGUGUGUUUGAGCACCGCGCUGCCUGCGGUGCCCCUAUAAGCUU